CCGCUGAACUUAAGCAUAUCAAUAAGCGGAGGAAAAGAAACCAACAGGGAUUGCCCUAGUAACGGCGAGUGAAGCGGCAACAGCUCAAAUUUGAAACCUGGCGCUUGCGUCCGGAUUGUAAUUUGUAGAGGAUGCUUCUGGGCAGCGGCCGUUCUAAGUUCCUUGGAACAGGACGUCAUAGAGGGUGAGAAUCCCGUAUGUGACCGGCGCGCACCCUCCACGUAGCUCCUUCGACGAGUCGAGUUGUUUGGGAAUGCAGCUCUAAAUGGGAGGUAAAUUUCUUCUAAAGCUAAAUAUUGGCCAGAGACCGAUAGCGCACAAGUAGAGUGAUCGAAAGAUGAAAAGCACUUUGGAAAGAGAGUUAAAAAGCACGUGAAAUUGUUGAAAGGGAAGCGCUUCCAACCAGACUCCGCGGCGGUGUUCCGCCGGUCUUCUGACCGGUCCACUCGCCGCCGUGGGGCCAACAUCGUCUGGGGCCGCCGGAUAAGACCGGAGGAAUGUAGCUCAUUGAGUGUUAUAGCCUCCGGUGAUGCGGCGCGUCCCGGGCGAGGUCCGCGCUUCGGCAAGGAUGUUGGCGUAAUGGUUGGCAGCGGCCCGUCUUGAAACACGGACCAAGGAGUCUAACAUCUAUGCGAGUGUUCGGGUGUCAAACCCCUACGCGUAAUGAAAGUGAACGGAGGUGGGAGCUUCGGCGCACCAUCGACCGAUCCUGAUGUCCUCGGAUGGAUUUGAGUAAGAGCAUAGCUGUUGGGACCCGAAAGAUGGUGAACUAUGCCUGAAUAGGGUGAAGCCAGAGGAAACUCUGGUGGAGGCUCGCAGCGGUUCUGACGUGCAAAUCGAUCGUCAAAUUUGGGUAUAGGGGCGAAAGACUAAUCGA
rnacentral:rRNA from 1 species